rnacentral:rRNA from 1 species
GACGAACGCUGGCGGCGUGCUUAACACAUGCAAGUCGAACGGAAAGGCCCUGCUUUUGUGGGGUGCUCGAGUGGCGAACGGGUGAGUAACACGUGAGUAACCUGCCCUUGACUUUGGGAUAACUUCAGGAAACUGGGGCUAAUACCGGAUAGGAGCUCCUGCUGCAUGGUGGGGGUUGGAAAGUUUCGGCGGUUGGGGAUGGACUCGCGGCUUAUCAGCUUGUUGCUGGGGUAGUGGCUUACCAAGGCUUUGACGGGUAGCCGGCCUGAGAGGGUGACCGGCCACAUUGGGACUGAGAUACGGCCCAGACUCCUACGGGAGGCAGCAGUGGGGAAUAUUGCACAAUGGGCGGAAGCCUGAUGCAGCAACGCCGCGUGCAGGAUGACGGCCUUCGGGUUGUAAACCGCUUUCGCCUGUGACGAAGCGUGAGUGACGGUAAUGGGUAAAGAAGCACCGGCUAACUACGUG